CCUACGGGAGGCAGCAGUGGGGAAUAUUGGACAAUGGGCGAAAGCCUGAUCCAGCAAUGCCGCGUGAGUGGUGAAGGCCUUAGGGUUGUAAAGCUCUUUUACCAGGGAUGAUAAUGACAGUACCUGGAGAAUAAGCUCCGGCUAACUCCGUGCCAGCAGCCGCGGUAAUACGGAGGGAGCUAGCGUUGUUCGGAAUUACUGGGCGUAAAGCGUACGUAGGCGGUUAUUCAAGUCAGAGGUGAAAGCCCGGGGCUCAACCCCGGAACGGCCUUUGAAACUAGAUAGCUAGAAUCUUGGAGAGGUUAGUGGAAUUCCGAGUGUAGAGGUGAAAUUCGUAGAUAUUCGGAAGAACACCAGUGGCGAAGGCGACUAACUGGACAAGUAUUGACGCUGAGGUACGAAAGCGUGGGGAGCAAACAGGAUUAGAUACCCUGGUAGUCCACGCCGUAAACGAUGAUAACUAGCUGUUCGGGCACUUGGUGCUUGAGUGGCGCAGCUAACGCAUUAAGUUAUCCGCCUGGGGAGUACGGUCGCAAGNUUAAAACUCAAAUGAAUUGACGG
rnacentral:rRNA from 1 species